rnacentral:rRNA from 1 species
CUACCAGACUCCUACGGGAGGCAGCAGUGGGGAAUAUUGCACAAUGGGGGAAACCCUGAUGCAGCGACGCCGCGUGAGCGAUGAAGUAUUUCGGUAUGUAAAGCUCUAUCAGCAGGGAAGAAGAUGACGGUACCUGACUAAGAAGCCCCGGCUAACUACGUGCCAGCAGCCGCGGUAAUACGUAGGGGGCAAGCGUUAUCCGGAUUUACUGGGUGUAAAGGGCGUGUAGGCGGGGACGCAAGUCAGAUGUGAAAACCAUGGGCUCAACCUGUGGCCUGCAUUUGAAACUGUGUUUCUUGAGUACUGGAGAGGCAGACGGAAUUCCUAGUGUAGCGGUGAAAUGCGUAGAUAUUAGGAGGAACACCAGUGGCGAAGGCGGUCUGCUGGACAGCAACUGACGCUGAGGCGCGAAAGCGUGGGGAGCAAACAGGAUUAGAUACCCCGGUA